rnacentral:rRNA from 1 species
AACUUUCAACAACGGAUCUCUUGGUUCUGGCAUCGAUGAAGAACGCAGCGAAAUGCGAUAAGUAGUGUGAAUUGCAGAAUUCAGUGAAUCAUCGAAUCUUUGAACGCACAUUGCGCCCCUUGGUAUCCCGAGGGGCAUGCCUGUUCGAGCGUCAUUUCACCACUCAAGCCUGGCUUGGUGUUGGGCGACGUCCCCUUUGGGGACGCGCCUCGAAACGCUCGGCGGCGUGGCACCGGCUUUAAGCGUAGCAGAAUCUUUCGCUUUGAAAGUCGGGGCCCCGUCUGCCGGAAGACCUACUCGCAAGGUUGACCUCGGAUCAGGCAGGGAUACCCGCUGAACU